rnacentral:rRNA from 1 species
UCCUUAGACGUUCUGGGCCGCACGCGCGCUACACUGACGGAGCCAGCGAGUAUAAACCUUGGCCGAGAGGUCUGGGAAAUCUUGUGAAACUCCGUCGUGCUGGGGAUAGAGCAUUGUAAUUAUUGCUCUUCAACGAGGAAUUCCUAGUAAGCGCAAGUCAUCAGCUUGCGUUGAUUACGUCCCUGCCCUUUGUACACACCGCCCGUCGCUACUACCGAUUGAAUGGCUUAGUGAGGCUUCCGGAUUGGUUUAGAGAAGGGGGCAACUCCAUCUUGGAACCGAGAAGCUAGUCAAACUUGGUCAUUUAGAGGAAGUAAAAGUCGUAACA